UCUUCUUCUUCUUCUUCUUCUAGUUUUUCUUAGCAAGAAGGAAAAAUCAGAAAUAAGAGUUUGUUCUGUUUGGGAUAAGUAGGUUCUGUGUUCUGGUUGUCAAAGGCGGUUAUUGGUUGUAAUUAAUUAUAGCAGAUUUCACCAUUCUUCCUUUAAACUCUGCCCUCUGAUCAGUAGGUGUGCGGCACUUUCAGUUUUACUAGUCAUAGAAGAAUGGGUCAGAUUUCUCAGUAGUCUUCCAAGUUCAAUAAAUUGCUACGUUUUCCCUGUGAUGAAAUUUCAUUACAAAGUCAAUACG
rnacentral:misc_RNA from 1 species